UACCAUCCUGUCGGAUAGCUUAUCAGACUGAUGUUGACUGUUGGAUCUCAUGGCAACAACAGUCGGUAGGCUGUCUGACAUUUUGGUAUCUCUCA
rnacentral:miRNA from 1 species